GCAGGGUCUGGGCUAAACUGUGAAAUCUUAAGAAUUAAAGAUGGCUUCUUCUUCUUCUCCUAAGUUGGUACUUUUGAUGUGUUUUAUGAUUAGUGCUUUUGGCAUUGCAAUUGGGGCCAAGUUCGAUCAAGAAUUUGACAUCACAUGGGGUGAUGGCAGAGCAAAGAUACUCAACAAUGGAGACCUCCUAACUCUCUCACUUGACAAAAUCUCUGGCUCUGGUUUUCAAUCCAAGAAUGAAUAUCUCUUUGGUAAAAUUGACAUGCAGCUCAAACUUGUCCCUGGAAAUUCUGCUGGCACUGUAACUGCUUACUAUUUGUCAUCACAAGGAGCAACACAUGAUGAGAUAGAUUUUGAAUUCUUGGGAAAUCUUAGUGGUGAUCCUUAUACUCUCCACACUAAUGUAUUUAGCCAAGGCAAAGGAAACAGAGAGCAGCAAUUCCAUCUCUGGUUUGAUCCUACUGCUGAUUUCCACACUUAUUCCAUCCUUUGGAAUGCACAACGCAUCAUAUUCUAUGUGGAUGGAACGCCCAUAAGAGAAUACAAUAAUAGUGAAUCAAUGGGAGUUUCAUAUCCCAAGAACCAACCAAUGAGGAUAUACUCAAGUCUUUGGAAUGCAGAUGAUUGGGCUACAAGAGGAGGACUUGUCAAGACUGAUUGGAGUCAAGCACCCUUUAGUGCUUCUUACAGAAACUUCAAUGCCAAUGCUUGUAUACCCAAUUCUCCAUCAUCAUCAUCUUCUUGCAAUUCCAAUCCUUCAACUUCAUCCAGCAGUUCAUGGUUGAAUGAAGAGUUAGAUAACACAAGCUAAGAGAGGCUCAAAUGGGUGCAGAAGAAUUACAUGGUUUAUAAUUACUGCAGUGAUUCCAAGCGAUUUCCACAAGGAUCUCCAGCGAUUUUCCUGGCUAUUUUUGCUGAAUAUCUUAGUGAUGAAAUUUCUAUUCCAACUACUGGACUACAUGCCGAAUUCUUCCAUUCAAUAAAUGUCGCACUAUUGUGGAUUUAUGAUUGUCGGAAGGUCAAUGAUGGUUAUGUUAGCGAAAACGACGAUCCAAAAAAAUCUAAGAGAUAUUUCAUCUCUCUUAGUCAAGGAGAACUGAUGGACGUCGAGUAAGUUUUUUUUUUGAAU